rnacentral:rRNA from 1 species
GAUGAACGCUGGCGGCGUGCCUAAUACAUGCAAGUCGAGCGAACAGAUGAGGAGCUUGCUCCUCUGACGUUAGCGGCGGACGGGUGAGUAACACGUGGAUAACCUACCUAUAAGACUGGGAUAACUUCGGGAAACCGGAGCUAAUACCGGAUAAUAUAUUGAACCGCAUGGUUCAAUAGUGAAAGACGGUUUUGCUGUCACUUAUAGAUGGAUCCGCGCCGCAUUAGCUAGUUGGUAAGGUAACGGCUUACCAAGGCAACGAUGCGUAGCCGACCUGAGAGGGGUGAUCGGCAAAACGGAAACUGAGCACGGUCCAAACUCCCACGGGAGGGAACCGGUGGGAAACCUCCGGCAAUGGGCGAAAGCUUAACGGAGAAACGCGGGGGGAGUAAUAAGGUCCUCGGAACGGUAAAACCCUUUUAUAAGGAAAAACCAAUGGGGAAGGAACCAUUCACCGCUUGAACGGAACCAAUCAAAAAGGCACCGCUAACUUACGG